rnacentral:rRNA from 2 species
UUAAGUGACUAAGCGUACACGGUGGAUGCCUUGGCAGUCAGAGGCGAUGAAAGACGUAGUAACUUGCGAUAAGCCCAGAUUAGGUAGUAACAACCAUUUGAGUCUGGGAUUUCUGAAUGGGGAAACCCACGUGCAUAAGCACGUAUCCUUACCUGAAUACAUAGGGUAAGGAGGCGAACCGGGGGAACUGAAACAUCUAAGUACCCCGAGGAAAAGAAAUCAACCGAGAUUCCGAAAGUAGCGGCGAGCGAAAUUGGACUAGCCCUUAAGCUUUACACGUGUUAGACGAACGGUCUGGAAAGUCCGACGAUACAGGGUGAUAGUCCCGUAGUUGACGACGUGUGUUCAGUGAAAUCGAGUAGGGCGGGACACGUGAUAUCCUGUCUGAAUAUGGGGGGACCAUCCUCCAAGGCUAAAUACUACUGACUGACCGAUAGUGAACCAGUACCGUGAGGGAAAGGCGAAAAGAACCCCUGUGAGGGGAGUGAAAUAGAACCUGAAACCGUGUACGUACAAGCAGUAGGAGCAGGCUUUGUCCUGUGACUGCGUACCUUUUGUAUAAUGGGUCAGCGACUUAUAUUCAGUGGCAAGGUUAACCAUCUAGGGGAGCCGUAGGGAAACCGAGUCUUAACUGGGCGUUCAGUCUCUGGAUAUAGACCCGAAACCAGGUGAUCUAGCCAUGGGCAGGUUGAAGGUUGAGUAACAUCAACUGGAGGACCGAACCGACUAAUGUUGAAAAAUUAGCGGAUGACUUGUGGCUAGGGGUGAAAGGCCAAUCAAACCUGGAGAUAGCUGGUUCUCCCCGAAAGCUAUUUAGGUAGCGCCUCGGACGAAUACUACUGGGGGUAGAGCACUGUUAAGGCUAGGGGGUCAUCCCGACUUACCAACCCUUUGCAAACUCCGAAUACCAGUAAGUACUAUCCGGGAGACACACGGCGGGUGCUAACGUCCGUCGUGGAGAGGGAAACAACCCAGACCGCCAGCUAAGGUCCCAAAUUACUACUAAGUGGGAAACGAUGUGGGAAGGCUCAGACAGCCAGGAUGUUGGCUUAGAAGCAGCCAUCAUUUAAAGAAAGCGUAAUAGCUCACUGGUCGAGUCGGCCUGCGCGGAAGAUGUAACGGGGCUAAGUAGUAAACCGAAGCUGCGGCAAUGUGCUUUUGCACAUUGGGUAGGGGAGCGUUCUGUAAGCGGUUGAAGGUGUGUGGUAACGCAUGCUGGACGUAUCAGAAGUGCGAAUGCUGACAUGAGUAACGAUAAAGGGGGUGAAAAACCUCCUCGCCGGAAGACCAAGGGUUCCUGUCCAACGUUAAUCGGGGCAGGGUAAGUCGACCCCUAAGGCGAGGCCGAAAGGCGUAGUCGAUGGGAAACGGGUUAAUAUUCCCGUACUUCUUACAAUUGCGAUGGGGGGACGGAGAAGGCUAGGUGGGCCUGGCGACGGUUGUCCAGGUUCAAGUGCGUAGGCUUGAGAGUUAGGUAAAUCCGGCUCUUUUUAAGGCUGAGACACGACGUCGAGCCACUACGGUGGUGAAGUCAUUGAUGCCAUGCUUCCAGGAAAAGCCUCUAAGCUUCAGAUUGUAAGGAAUCGUACCCCAAACCGACACAGGUGGUCGGGUAGAGAAUACCAAGGCGCUUGAGAGAACUCGGGUGAAGGAACUAGGCAAAAUGGUACCGUAACUUCGGGAGAAGGUACGCUCUCGACGGUGAAGUCCCUCGCGGAUGGAGCUAUUGAGAGUCGCAGAUACCAGGUGGCUGCAACUGUUUAUUAAAAACACAGCACUGUGCAAAAUCGUAAGAUGACGUAUACGGUGUGACGCCUGCCCGGUGCCGGAAGGUUAAUUGAUGGGGUUAGACUUCGGUCGAAGCUCUUGAUCGAAGCCCCGGUAAACGGCGGCCGUAACUAUAACGGUCCUAAGGUAGCGAAAUUCCUUGUCGGGUAAGUUCCGACCUGCACGAAUGGCGUAAUGAUGGCCACGCUGUCUCCACCCGAGACUCAGUGAAAUUGAAAUCGCUGUGAAGAUGCAGUGUACCCGCGGCUAGACGGAAAGACCCCGUGAACCUUUACUACAGCUUGGCACUGAACAUUGACCCUACAUGUGUAGGAUAGGUGGGAGGCUUUGAAGCACGUACGCCAGUAUGUGUGGAGCCGUCCUUGAAAUACCACCCUUGUAGUGUUGAUGUUCUAACGUCGACCCCUUAUCGGGGUUGCGGACAGUGCCUGGUGGGUAGUUUGACUGGGGCGGUCUCCUCCCAAAGAGUAACGGAGGAGCACGAAGGUGGGCUAAUCACGGUUGGACAUCGUGAGGUUAGUGCAAUGGCAUAAGCCCGCUUGACUGCGAGAAUGACAAUUCGAGCAGGUGCGAAAGCAGGUCAUAGUGAUCCGGUGGUUCUGAAUGGAAGGGCCAUCGCUCAACGGAUAAAAGGUACUCCGGGGAUAACAGGCUGAUACCGCCCAAGAGUUCAUAUCGACGGCGGUGUUUGGCACCUCGAUGUCGGCUCAUCACAUCCUGGGGCUGAAGUCGGUCCCAAGGGUAUGGCUGUUCGCCAUUUAAAGUGGUACGCGAGCUGGGUUUAGAACGUCGUGAGACAGUUCGGUCCCUAUCUGCCGUGGGCGUUGGAAGAUUGAAGGGGGCUGCUCCUAGUACGAGAGGACCGGAGUGGACGAACCUCUGGUGUUCGGGUUGUGUCGCCAGACGCAUUGCCCGGUAGCUAAGUUCGGAAUCGAUAACCGCUGAAAGCAUCUAAGCGGGAAGCGAGCCCUGAGAUGAGUCUUCCCUGAUACUUUAAGUAUCCUAAAGGGUUGUCGGAGACUACGACGUUGAUAGGUCAGGUGUGUAAGUGCUGUGAGGCAUUGAGCUAACUGAUACUAAUUGCCCGUGAGGCUUAACCAU